GCCUUUGUGGUGUAGUGGUCAGCACGCUGGGUGCGUAUUCCAGAGGUCCGUGGUUCGAGUCCCGGCGAAGGCG
rnacentral:tRNA from 1 species